AUCAAUUCCAUUUAAGGCUUUAAAAAGACAUAUGGAUAACAUUAUUGGCUACAGACCCUUAAGAAAACUAAGGUAAACGUAUUUAUCUGAAGCUGGAAGAACACUUUCAGACAUAAUGGGAGCAUUCCCUCAUGGAGCAUGAGGGUGGCCUAAAUGACCUUAUCAGACAGUGGAACAGCUGAGACCGAGAACUGUGAUGGGUGAUUUGAAGAGCUUGGAGCAAGGGU